rnacentral:misc_RNA from 1 species
CAUUAUUGAAAUAAACCUGAUGGGUUGUUGCUGGUUCUCUAGGGAGCAUGUGCACGCUUGUCAUCUUUAUAUCUCCACCUGUGCACCUUUUGUAGACCUGGAUAUCUCUCUGAGUGCUAGCCACUCAGGUUUGAGUAUUGACUUUGUGUCUUUUCUUACAUUUCCAGGCCUAUGUUUUCCCAUAAUACCCAAUGUAUGUCUUAGAAUGUAUUCAAUGGGCCUCUGUGCCUAUAAAAUCUAUACAACUUUCAGCAACGGAUCUCUUGGCUCUCGCAUCGAUGAAGAACGCAGCGAAAUGCGAUAAGUAAUGUGAAUUGCAGAAUUCAGUGAAUCAUCGAAUCUUUGAACGCACCUUGCGCUCCUUGGUAUUCCGAGGAGCAUGCCUGUUUGAGUGUCAUUAAUAUAUCAACCUCUUCAAAUUUUUUGUUUGAUGAGUGUUGGAUGUGGGGGAACUGCUUUGCUGGUCUAAACAGGUCAGCUCCCCUGAAAUGCAUUAGCAGAACCAUUUGCAGAUCGUUCAUUGGUGUGAUAAUUAUCUACGCUAUUAACGUGAAGUAGUUCAGCUUCUAACAGUCCAUUGACUUGGACAAUUCUCAUUAA